rnacentral:lncRNA from 1 species
UUUCGUUACAAAAUAUAGUAUCACAGAGAAUUAUAAAAAAGUUAUACUAAUUAUACAUAUAUAUGUUUAUAUGAUCUUAAUUCCUCUACCUUUUUAAACUUCUGCAUGCAGGUCCCUUUAAAAAUUCCUUAGUCUGACAGUUGGCAGUUAGUCAAUGCUGAACCAACUUCCUGUGAAAGGACAUUAUUUUGCAUGUCCUUUGAGACUGGAUAAUUAAUGUGCACUGGUUCCAUUCUGAGCACCAAUCACAUGGAUAUGAAAAUUCAUGAACAAGCUUUAUCAGCAAACAUUACCAAUUGGAGGACUGCCUUGUCUCUAGCUUGAAUACAUACUCCACCCCCAUCUUUGAGAGGUGCCCCAGAGAGGACAUCAAAAAGUACUGUUGGUGAUCUGGGCCUUCUGGUUUACUGACAACCAGUUCCAAGAGAAAAGAAAGCAGCAAGGCUACUGAACAGAUACCUGGCACGGUGCAUAAAUCCUGAGCAGUGAGCUUUGUGAUGACCUCUAAUCCCAUGGUAGCCGUCAAUGUCAUCCAUUCUCAAGGAAAGCUAGCAUUCUUACGCUUCAUUAGUGAAAACUGGAUUACCUAAUAUCCUGAAUUUUCUGCAUCCUGAAUGUCACAUUCAAGUUUUUGGCCCAGAGGAUC